rnacentral:ncRNA from 1 species
UUUAUGGAGAGUUUGAUCCUGGCUCAGGACGAACGCUGGCGGCGUGCCUAAUACAUGCAAGUCGAGCGGACUAAUGGGAGCUUGCUCCNGGGAAACCGGAGCUAAUACCGGAUGACAUAAAGGAACUCCUGUUCCUUUAUUGAAAGAUGGCUUUUAGCUAUCACUUAUAGAUGGGCCUGCGGCGCAUUAGCUAGUUGGUGAGGUAACGGCUCACCAAGGCGACGAUGCGUAGCCGACCUGAGAGGGUGAUCGGCC